rnacentral:rRNA from 1 species
GACGAACGCUGGCGGCGUGCUUAACACAUGCAAGUCGAGCGGUAAGGCCCUUUCGGGGUACGACGAGCGGCGAACGGGUAGAGUAACACGUGGGUGACCUGCCCUCAGCUCUGGGAUAAGCCUGGGAAACGUGGGUCUAAUACCGGAUAUGACUCCAUGACGCAUGUUGUGGGGUGGAAAGCCUUGUGCGGCUGAGGAUGGGCCCGCGGCCUAUCAGCUUGUUGGUGGGGUGAUGGCCUACCAAGGCGACGACGGUAGCCGGCCUGAGAGGCGACCGGCCACACUGGGACUGAGACACGGCCCAGACUCCUACGGGAGGCAGCAGUGGGGAAUCUUGCGCAAUGGGCGAAAGCCUGACGCAGCGACGCCGCGUGAGGGAUGACGGCCU